rnacentral:lncRNA from 1 species
GUGCCCGGCACUCCAUGGACAGAGAAGAAAGAAGUGCUGUCUUCCCCGUGCAGUCUUUAUCCUGCUCCCACAUGCUGGUCUUCGGCGCAGGAUCCUGGAGCCUCUGCUCCCCGUGGGGGUGGGCAUGCUGUGACCUUGGGUUAACCACUUUCCCGCCGAGUCUCAGUUUCCUCAUCUGUACAAUGGCUCUCAUGAGAAUGAUGCCUGUUUUUCCUAUUCCCAGGGAGGGAUUCGAUGCGAGGACACCAUAAAAUGAGGAAUGA